rnacentral:rRNA from 1 species
UGGGGAAUAUUGGACAAUGGGGGGAACCCUGAUCCAGCCAUGCCGCGUGUGUGAAGAAGGCCUUAUGGUUGUAAAGCACUUUAAGCGAGGAGGAGGCUACUAGUAUUAAUACUACUGGAUAGUGGACGUUACUCGCAGAAUAAGCACCGGCUAACUCUGUGCCAGCAGCCGCGGUAAUACAGAGGGUGCGAGCGUUAAUCGGAUUUACUGGGCGUAAAGCGUGCGUAGGCGGCCAUUUAAGUCAAAUGUGAAAUCCCCGAGCUUAACUUGGGAAUUGCAUUCGAUACUGGAUGGCUAGAGUAUGGGAGAGGAUGGUAGAAUUCCAGGUGUAGCGGUGAAAUGAGUAGAGAUCUGGAGGAAUACCGAUGGCGAAGGCAGCCAUCUGGCCUAAUACUGACGCUGAGGUACGAAAGCAUGGGGAGCAAACAGGAUUAGAUACCCUGGUAGUCCAUGCCGUAAACGAUGUCUACUAGCCGUUGGGGCCUUUGAGGCUUUAGUGGCGCAGCUAACGCGAUAAGUAGACCGCCUGGGGAGUACGGUCGCAAGACU